rnacentral:rRNA from 1 species
UGCAGUCGAGCGAGAACCAUGGCUUCGGCCAUGGGGACAGCGGCGAACGGGUGAGUAACACGUGAGUAAUCUGCCCUCGACAUCGGGAUAGCCCGGGGAAACCCGGAUUAAUACCGGAUAGCCUCUGGAGCUCUAGGGCUCUUGAGAAAAGAUGGCUUCGGCUUUCGGUUGAGGAGGAGCUUGCGGCGGAUUAGCUUGUUGGUGGGGUAAAGGCCCACCAAGGCGACAAUCCGUAGCUGGUCUGAGAGGACGAUCAGCCACACUGGGACUGAGACACGGCCCAGACUCCUACGGGAGGCAGCAGUGGGGAAUCUUGCGCAAUGAGCGAAAGCUUGACGCAGCGACGCCGCGUGAGGGAAGAAGGCCUUCGGGUUGUAAACCUCUUUCAGGAGGGACGAAGCCACUCGGGUUAAUACCCCAGAGGGUGACGGUACCUNCAGAAGAAGCCCCGGCUAACUACGUGNCAGCAGCCGCGGUAAUACGUAGGGGGCAAGCGUU